rnacentral:rRNA from 1 species
AACGAACGCUGGCGGCAGGCUUAACACAUGCAAGUCGAACGGAUCCUUCGGGAUUAGUGGCAGACGGGCGAGUAACGCGUGGGAACGUACCCUUUGCUACGGAAUAACUCAGGGAAACUUGAGCUAAUACCGUAUGUGCCCUACGGGGGAAAGAUUUAUCGGCAAAGGAUCGGCCCGCGUUGGAUUAGCUAGUUGGUGGGGUAAUGGCCUACCAAGGCGACGAUCCAUAGCUGGUCUGAGAGGAUGAUCAGCCACACUGGGACUGAGACACGGCCCAGACUUCUACGGGAGGCAGCAGUGGGGAAUAUUGGACAAUGGGCGCAAGCCUGAUCCAGCCAUGCCGCGUGAGUGAUGAAGGUCUUAGGAUUGUAAAGCUCUUUCACCGGUGAAGAUAAUGACGGUAGCCGGAGAAGAAGCCCCGGCUAACUUCGUG